AGCGGCAGAGCUCAGAUUUGAAAUCGUGCUUUGCGGCACGAGUUGUAGAUUGCAGGUUGGAGUCUGUGUGGAAGGCGGUGUCCAAGUCCCUUGGAACAGGGCGCCCAGGAGGGUGAGAGCCCCGUGGGAUGCCGGCGGAAGCAGUGAGGCCCUUCUGACGAGUCGAGUUGUUUGGGAAUGCAGCUCCAAGCGGGUGGUAAAUUCCAUCUAAGGCUAAAUACUGGCGAGAGACCGAUAGCGAACAAGUACUGUGAAGGAAAGAUGAAAAGCACUUUGAAAAGAGAGUGAAACAGCACGUGAAAUUGUUGAAAGGGAAGGGUAUUGCGCCCGACAUGGGGAUUGCGCACCGCUGCCUCUCGUGGGCGGCGCUCUGGGCUUUCCCUGGGCCAGCAUCGGUUCUUGCUGCAGGAGAAGGGGUUCUGGAACGUGGCUCUU
rnacentral:rRNA from 1 species